rnacentral:rRNA from 1 species
AUUGAACGCUGGCGGCAGGCCUAACACAUGCAAGUCGAGCGGAGCGGCGGACGGGUGAGUAAUGCCUAGGAAUCUGCCUGGUAGUGGGGGACAACGGCCGGAGACGGGCGCUACUACCGCAUACUAUCAGAUGAGCCUAGGUCGGAUUGGCUGGGUGGUGGGGUAAAGGCCUACCAGGGUGACGAUCCGUACUUGGUCUGAGAGGAUGAUCAGUCACAUUGGAACUUGUACACGGUCCAGACUCCUACGGGAGGCAGCAGUGGGGAAUAUGGGACAAUGGGCGAAAUCAUGAUCCAGCCAUGCCGCGUGUGUGAAGAAGGGCUUCGGAUUGUAAAGCACUUUAAGUUGGGAGGCGUUACCAACAGAAUAAGCACUGGCUAACUUCGUGCCAGCAGCCGCGGUAAUAC